UACAGAGGGUGCGAGCGCUGUCCGGAAUCACUGGGCGUAAAGGGCGCGUAGGUGGUGGCUUAAGCGUGCGGUGAAAGCUCGGGGCUCAACUCCGAGUCGGCCGUGCGAACUGGGCUCACUGGAGCAUAGUAGAGGCAGGUGGAAUUCCGGGUGUAGCGGUGGAAUGCGUAGAGAUCCGGAAGAACACCGGUGGCGAAGGCGGCCUGCUGGGCUAUGGCUGACACUGAGGCGCGACAGCGUGGGGAGCAAACAGG
rnacentral:rRNA from 1 species